GUCACAGGCUCUCUCGGUGACAGGCUCUCGGUCACAGGCUCUCUCGGUGACAGGCUCUCGGUGACAGGCUCUCUCAGGACAGGGCUCUCUCUCCAGAGCGCCGGCGCUGCCCGCUCUCCGGCCGGUCCCAGGGCACGCGUGGCCGCUCCCUGCCCAGCUCCUCGAGUCCCAGCUGAGGGGCACCAGGGGGUCCCUGGUGGGGUCAGGGAUCCAUCCACAGGCUGGUUUUAGUAACCAUGCUAGUUUUGGUCUCAUUCCUGCAGUCUGGUCUGUUACACGACGGUGCUCAGCACAUUGUCACAUCACCAAUGAAUUUCACCUGUUUUGUAUUUAUAGUUGUAUCAUCCAGCAAAACUAUAAUGGGAAAUCGAAGUCUUAAAACCAAACUGGUUUAAUCGUAGGAGUAAAUAAAUGUUACGAGCAGUUAAACUCUCACGUUUUUUUGGUGUACAGUUUCCUAUCGAGAACCAGUAUGCUCUGAUUUCCAUGCAAGUCUUGAUUCAGUUGUGAACAGAGAGAGUGUCAGCUGAGGAAAUAACUGCAGUUGCAGUCACCUUCUUAUUCAGCGUGCGAAGCCCCCGAUUUCUGUUUGAUGUGACCAGCUGACAGGAGGUCCUGUCAGCAGAUGGCUCUGCGGGGGUGUCCCAGCACUCUGCCGCGGGUCGGUGCCGCCUGUGGGGCUGUGCGGCCCUGGUGGCCCCGGCAGGUCGGUCCCCUGUCAUUCACCAGUAGUAAGAGUCAAGUGUAAGGAAAAGCAAGGCUGCACUGGACAGCAAGCUCUUUCCUUAAACCUGCCUUUCUCUACAGCUUCAGUAACUGCUUAUUUUCAAAAUGGUAAAUACAGCAAUGGAAGUCUCGUAGCUUGCUGCUGGGAUGCAAACAACACAGUGAGGACUGCCUGCAGCGAGUUGCGACGAGGACGGAAACAUCCUGGGAUGUGUGCUAGAAAUCAAAAAUUUCACUGAAUCUUCACUUAAUCUUUUUGGAUUGCUGAUAAAACAUCAUGUUGUGUCAAUCACUCUUGAAAAGAGAAAUUUAAUUUAAUGUUUUGAAAGAAAAAUGCCAUUUGUUUGCAUGUUUCUGAAUAUGAAUGGUCCUUAGCACUUCCUGAGGAACUCAUUCCCCAUAAAGCAAUUGUACCUGUUUAAUAUGAUUUGGAUCUUUAUGGGAGUAUUGGACUCUUGCUGGGAGACUCUCAGAGAGAAUUACAGGAGCAGUAAUAUAAAGGCAGUAUGCCAGAUGUAGUGAUGUGUUGAAUGGUGUCUGUUUGCUCCCAAAGGGAGAUUUGGGCUCCGGUGUCCCUGAGGGCCGCGUGUACCGUCACAGAAGUGGAGCAUAGUCCAGGUUUGUGCUGGUGUAAAUGAGAACAGACUUUGGCUGCUUGUCACUUAGUCAGGCUCAUCACGCUUUCCCACACAGAGUCUUCACAAACUGGAAAAGUCCAGGUCAGUCCGAAGCAAUCCAGUUUACACUUCUCCAAGAACUUUAAAUUAGUGUUCAUCCAGCUGGUUGCAAUAGGAAGAGAGAAAGGUUUAUGUGGACAAAUUAAACCUCACUGAAAUGCUACAGACGCUGUUGGGGACUGAAUUUGAAUCCAUAAGGGCUUACAGUUGUGAUUCAACGUCAAAGAGCAGCAGCACAGGAAAGGAACAUGUUCCAAACACUUGUUUGAGAAGGAAAGUCAGGCGUGUACCACCUGUUCUGCCACUGGAACGAGGAGCUUGGCCUGCAAAACCCUCGUCCACUGUGCGACUGCUCCUCCUGCGCUGCACGCAGAGUCCUUUGCAAACACUGAGUCACUCUCUUGAGGACAGACUGAAGAAGGAGGCUUUCCGAUCUCUGCAGGAUGUCAUCCAGGGGACUCGUUCCCGCCUUCUCCCUCCCCUCCGGAAGGAGCAGCCCCGCGUGGAGACCAACACCAGCCAAGGUGAGGAGCAGCAGUGGCAGCGGGAUGGAUGGCAUCGUGGGGUUCCUGCCACCUCUGUGGGAGAGAGGAUGGAGCGGACAACCCUAGCGAUAACAGCAACAUUUCCAGACACUGAGAAAGAAACGUGACACUGCUGUAGGGACUGGAGCCUCAUAGGAGGUUCCUUCCUCAUUUUUGUUACUAACCCCUCAGUUCAUUUUAUAUCCUUCAAAGAAUCUGUACAUUCUUCAUAAUUAAAACCAGGCACAUGUUCGUUUUUCUGGCAGAAUAAAUAUGAACAUUUUAACACCUAA